UAUGGUUUAUUGAGUAUAUUAAAUUUAGUUCCCCAUGCUAUACAGUAUUAUUAUUAUUAAAUUUUUGUAGGAAAUGACCAAGUUCACUCCUGGACACUUGUCACCAGCCAAGCCUUAGAUACCGCGUGGAGAGUAGCAAAGGGGUCAGUGACGUUGGCAGUUUCAUUUCUGGUGGGCACCCUCUGCUACUUCAGAAGGCUACAUUUAUAUUUAGGGCACCGGCUGAAAAGGUGGAUUGGAUAUCUGCAGAGGAGAUUCAAAAGGAACCUCAGUGUGGAGGCAGAAGUUGAUUUACUCAGUUAUUGUGCAAGAGAAUGGAAAGGAGAGACACCCCAUGCCAAGCUGAUGAGGAAGGUGUGUCUAUUUGUACAGCUCGUGGUGGGUGGAGAAUUUGUGUGUAAAAAUUGGGACACAUGCAUUCCAUUCUGCUUUACCAACUGUGGCACCAGGAACAACUGUGGCUCUAAUUAAAAGCCACACAGCUGCUAGACAUUGCCUUCGGGCCUUUCACCUAGAGCUAGUGCCUUCGAGGACUUGGGUAAAUUAGGCCCGUAAUUUCAGGACACUUGAGCAUGGUACCCUUUUCAGCUCCCUCCUGGCCAGGCCUAUGAACACAUCUGCACAUGCAGUGGAGACUUCUGUCCUUGAAGGGAUUCAGGCACCUUGACAUAAAACAUUUUGAGGCUUUUUAGAACUUUCCAUCAGACCAAUCUUGGUAAAUAUUCCCAGCAGUGCUGUCCAACCCUGUCACUAGCUAAAGC